CCUGCACGCGGGCAGAGUCUCCCCUGUACGUUCAAGGCGUCGCAAUCAAUACAAUUACAAGAGGUUCCAAACAGGAACAAUUUUUCAACAACGAUUGCAUAAGGAAGGUAUCAAACAACAUAACACAUCCUAUGUUAUUACAAUCAUUCAUCUCAUCAUUUUACAUCGCAUUUUUCAUUACAUUGAUUCUCAACUUCCAAAUAUACAAUCGAUUUCUAAACAUAAUAUUACAACAUCGAUUCUUUUCUUAUACCCCUAAGAAGCCGACUCAGGGUGCUGCUAUCUGGUCUCUGUGGUAGGGCGCUAACUACGGAGCUACGCCCUUUCCUCACGCUGCCGCGCCGCUCGCGUGUGAACCUAUACCCCCAAAAACAACAACACGGGGGUGAGACUAUUGUCCAUAGUCGUCAGUGGGUACAGCCACCCAAGGGAAAAGCUCAACCCACCAGGUCCAAAGGAGGCACUGCAACAUGUUAGUCCAACAGAUAUAUACAUAUAACAUCAUGCAAUACAUGUUCAUGCCUCACAAAUAUGCAAAUUAUGCAACUCUUAGUCAUUCUUUACCAUUAGCCUUUCUUGAGAAUAUGCAAUUCUUUAUCAUUAGCCAUUCUUUAUUCUUUAAUCUUUAUUCUUUAUUCUUUAUUCUUUAUGCUUUAUUCUUUAUGCUUUAUUCUUUGUUCUUUAUCCUUUACUAAGGGCACUCGCGCCUUAGGCUCAUCAUACACAUUUGCCAUUCUUUAUAACAUUAACAAACGUUUCUCAAUUGUCAUUCUUUCUCAAUUGCUAUUCUUUCUCAAUUGUUAUUCUUUCACAGGGUUACCUUUACCCUAGCCAACUAUGCCACUCGACUCGGUCUUGAGUCAAUUCAUAAUGAAUACAAGAUCCACUUUCCA
rnacentral:lncRNA from 1 species